rnacentral:rRNA from 1 species
ACUACGGUGGGCAGCAGUGAGGAAUAUUGGUCAAUGGGCGGAAGCCUGAACCAGCCAAGUCGCGUGAGGGAAUAAGGCCCUACGGGUCGUAAACCUCUUUUGCCGGGGAGCAAGGGCGGGGCCGUGUCCCGGCCCGGAGAGUACCCGGAGAAAAGGCAUCGGCUAACUCCGUGCCAGCAGCCGCGGUAAUACGGAGGAUGCGAGCGUUAUCCGGAUUUAUUGGGUUUAAAGGGAGCGUAGGGGGAUUGUUAAGUCAGUUGUGAAAGUUUGCGGCUCAACCGUAAAAUUGCAGUUGAAACUGGCAGUCGUGAGUACAGUAGAGGUGGGCGGAAUUCGUGGUGUAGCGGUGAAAUGCUUAGAUAUCACGAAGAACUCCGAUUGCGAAGGCAGCUCACUGGACUGCAACUGACACUGAGGCUCGAAAGUGUGGGUAUCAAACAGGAUUAGAUACCCCAGUAGUC